CCUACGGGUGGCAGCAGUGAGGAAUAUUGGUCAAUGGGCGCGAGCCUGAACCAGCCAAGUAGCGUGAAGGAUGACUGCCCUACGGGUUGUAAACUGCUUUUAUAAAGGGAUAAAUUGAGGCACAUGUGCCUUUUUGUAUGUACUUUAUGAAUAAGGAUCGGCUAACUCCGUGCCAGCAGCCGCGGUAAUACGGAGGAUCCGAGCGUUAUCCGGAUUUAUUGGGUUUAAAGGGAGCGUAGAUGGGUUGUUAAGUCAGUUGUGAAAGUUUGCGGCUCAACCGUAAAAUUGCAAUUGAUACUGGCAGCCUUGAGUACAGUUGAGGUAGGCGGAAUUCGUGGUGUAGCGGUGAAAUGCUUAGAUAUCACGAAGAACCCCGAUUGCGAAGGCAGCUUACUAAACUGUGACUGACAUUGAUGCUCGAAAGUGUGGGUAUCAAACAGGAUUAGAUACCCCUGUAGUC
rnacentral:rRNA from 1 species